UCCGGAGUAGCUCAACGGUAGAGCAGGCGGCUGUUAACCGCAAGGUUUAGGGUUCGAAUCCCUACUCCGGAGCCA
rnacentral:tRNA from 1 species